UACAGAGGGCCCAAGCGUUGUUCGGAUUCACUGGGCGUAAAGGGCGCGUAGGUGGCUUGGUAAGUUCGAUGUGAAAUCUCCGGGCUUAACCCGGAAAUGGCAUUGAAUACUAUUGAGCUGGAGGUUUGGAGGGGGGACUGGAAUUCUCGGUGUAGCAGUGAAAUGCGUAGAUAUCGAGAGGAACACCAGUGGCGAAGGCGAGUCCCUGGACAACACCUGACACUGAGGCACGAAAGCUAGGGGAGCAAACAGG
rnacentral:rRNA from 1 species